rnacentral:rRNA from 1 species
UGCAGUAGAACGCUGAAGAGAGGAGCUUGCUCUUCUUGGAUGAGUUGCGAACGGGUGAGUAACGCGUAGGUAACCUGCCUUGUAGCGGGGGAUAACUAUUGGAAACGAUAGCUAAUACCGCAUAACAAUGGAUGACACAUGUCAUUUAUUUGAAAGGGGCAAUUGCUCCACUACAAGAUGGACCUGCGUUGUAUUAGCUAGUAGGUGAGGUAACGGCUCACCUAGGCGACGAUACAUAGCCGACCUGAGAGGGUGAUCGGCCACACUGGGACUGAGACACGGCCCAGACUCCUACGGGAGGCAGCAGUAGGGAAUCUUCGGCAAUGGGGGCAACCCUGACCGAGCAACGCCGCGUGAGUGAAGAAGGUUUUCGGAUCGUAAAGCUCUGUUGUAAGUCAAGAACGAGUGUGAGAGUGGAAAGUUCACACUGUGACGGUAGCUUACCAGAAAGGGACGGCUAACUACGUGCCAGCAGCCGCGGUAAUACGUAGGUCCCGAGCGUUGUCCGGAUUUAUUGGGCGUAAAGCGAGCGCAGGCGGUUUGAUAAGUCUGAAGUUAAAGGCUGUGGCUCAACCAUAGUUCGCUUUGGAAACUGUCAAACUUGAGUGCAGAAGGGGAGAGUGGAAUUCCAUGUGUAGCGGUGAAAUGCGUAGAUAUAUGGAGGAACACCGGUGGCGAAAGCGGCUCUCUGGUCUGUAACUGACGCUGAGGCUCGAAAGCGUGGGGAGCGAACAGGAUUAGAUACCCUGGUAGUCCACGCCGUAAACGAUGAGUGCUAGGUGUUGGAUCCUUUCCGGGAUUCAGUGCCGCAGCUAACGCAUUAAGCACUCCGCCUGGGGAGUACGACCGCAAGGUUGAAACUCAAAGGAAUUGACGGGGGCCCGCACAAGCGGUGGAGCAUGUGGUUUAAUUCGAAGCAACGCGAAGAACCUUACCAGGUCUUGACAUCCCGAUGCUAUUUCUAGAGAUAGAAAGUUACUUCGGUACAUCGGUGACAGUGGUGCAUGGUUGUCGUCAGCUCGUGUCGUGAGAUGUUGGGUUAAUCCCGCA